GCGCCGGUGGUGUAAGGCGAACAUCACUGCCCCGGAAAGCAGAAGAUACGGGUUCGAGUCUCGCCUGACGCA
rnacentral:tRNA from 1 species